AGUUUGUUGGUAGGGUAAUGGCCUACCAAGACUAUGAUCAAUAGCUGAUUUGAGAGGAUGAUCAGCCACAUUGGGACUGAGACACGGCCCAAACUCCUACGGGAGGCAGCAGUGGGGAAUCUUGCACAAUGGAGGAAACUCUGAUGCAGCGAUGCCGCGUGAGUGAAGAAGGCCUUUGGGUUGUAAAGCUCUUUCGUCGGGGAAGAAAAUGACUGUACCCGAAUAAGAAGGUCCGGCUAACUUCGUGCCAGCAGCCGCGGUAAUACGAAGGGACCUAGCGUAGUUCGGAAUUACUGGGCUUAAAGAGUUCGUAGGUGGUUGAAAAAGUUGGUGGUGAAAUCCCAGAGCUUAACUCUGGAACUGCCAUCAAAACUUUUCAGCUAGAGUAUGAUAGAGGAAAGCAGAAUUUCUAGUGUAGAGGUGAAAUUCGUAGAUAUUAGAAAGAAUACCAAUUGCGAAGGCAGCUUUCUGGAUCAUUACUGACACUGAGGAACGAAAGCAUGGGUAGCGAAGAGGAUUAGAUACUCUCGUAGUCCAUGCCGUAAACGAUGUGUGUUAGACGUUGGAAAUUUAUUUUC
rnacentral:rRNA from 1 species